rnacentral:rRNA from 1 species
UCUUCCCUCUUGCUUCGUGCCUAAUACAUGCAAGUCGAGCGAACAGACGAGGAGCUUGCUCCUCUGACGUUAGCGGCGGACGGGUGAGUAACACGUGGAUAACCUACCUAUAAGACUGGGAUAACUUCGGGAAACCGGAGCUAAUACCGGAUAAUAUAUUGAACCGCAUGGUUCAAUAGUGAAAGACGGUUUUGCUGUCACUUAUAGAUGGAUCCGCGCCGCAUUAGCUAGUUGGUAAGGUAACGGCUUACCAAGGCAACGAUGCGUAGCCGACCUGAGAGGGUGAUCGGCCACACUGGAACUGAGACACGGUCCAGACUCCUACGGGAGGCAGCAGUAGGGAAUCUUCCGCAAUGGGCGAAAGCUUGACGGAGCAACGCCGCGUGAGUGAUGAAGGUCUUCGGAUCGUAAAACUCUGUUAUUAGGGAAGAACAAAUGUGUAAGUAACUAUGCACGUCUUGACGGUACCUAAUCAGAAAGCCACGGCUAACUACGUG